UACAUCAACUUCACAUUCAUUGUUUUAUUAUUUUGAUUUAUAUUAACAGUGGCCUGCAGCAGUAUUGAUCCCCUCUUGGCAUUUUCUUUUACCUUUUGUCAAAGUUGGUGAAGUGAAUUGGGGAAAAAAUUUUAAAAUGUAAUGCCCAAUAAAUAAGGUCAGAUGCUAGUAAUUAACUCCACCAUAAUGACUUUAAUAAGGUUUGCCUGUGUGCAUGUCACAUGACCUUAGCAUAAAUGUAUAUGUUCUGGAAGGCUUGAGAGUUGGCAACACUCCUAAUAAAGAGGCACCAUCAAGCAAGCAGUCACUGGGACCAAGUAGCUCUUCAAACAGGUGACAGGGACAAAAAAUAAUUCCCCAAAACUAGUCCUCUGGUCAGAUAUGACGUAAAGUGAACUUUGUGGUUUAAAAAAAAAACAAAAAAAAUUCUGACACAAACCCAGCAGCUUUCAUCACCACAGGAACACCAUCUCCACUGUGAAGCAUGGUGGUGGCAGCAUCAUGCUGUGAAGAUGUUUAAAAAUCAGCCAGGACUGGAAAACUGGUCGGAAUUGAGAUAUUGUUGGAUGGUGCAAAAUACAAGAA